rnacentral:rRNA from 1 species
UACGGAGGGAGCUAGCGUUAUUCGGAAUUACUGGGCGUAAAGCGCACGUAGGCGGCUUUGUAAGUUAGAGGUGAAAGCCUGGAGCUCAACCCCAGAAUUGCCUUUAAGACUGCAUCGCUUGAAUCCAGGAGAGGUGAGUGGAAUUCCGAGUGUAGAGGUGAAAUUCGUAGAUAUUCGGAAGAACACCAGUGGCGAAGGCGGCUCACUGGACUGGUAUUGACGCGUGAGGAGC